UACGGAGGAUCCGAGCGUUAUCCGGAUUUAUCGGGUUUAAAGGGAGCGUAGGUGGAUUGUUAAGUCUGAUGUGAAAGCCUUCGGCUUAACCGGAGUAGUGCAUUGGAAACUGGGAGACUUGAGUGCAGAAGAGGAGAGUGGAACUCCAUGUGUAGCGGUGAAAUGCGUAGAUAUAUGGAAGAACACCAGUGGCGAAAGCGGCUCUCUGGUCUGUAACUGACGCUGAGGUUCGAAAGCGUGGGUAGCAAACAGG
rnacentral:rRNA from 1 species